AGAGUUUGAUCCUGGCUCAGGAUGAACGCUAGCUACAGGCUUAACACAUGCAAGUCGAGGGGCAGCAUGUUGGUUGCUUGCAACCAAUGAUGGCGACCGGCGCACGGGUGAGUAACGCGUAUCCAACCUACCCUUGUCCAUCGGAUAACCCGUCGAAAGGCGGCCUAACACGAUAUGCUGUUCUCAGCAGGCAUCUAACGAGAACGAAAUGUGAAGGAGAAGGAUGGGGAUGCGUCUGAUUAGCUUGUUGGCGGGGUAACGGCCACCAAGGCGACGAUCAGUAGGGGUUCUGGAGAGGAACGGUCCCCCANAUUGGAACUGAGACACGGUCCAAACUCCGUACGGGAGCA
rnacentral:rRNA from 1 species